AAUGUGGUUGCAGCGGAGAAAGGCCAGUUCAGCAAGGAGCUUUGGCGUACCUUUCGGGCCGUCGCAGCCACUGGCCUUGUAAUCUAUGCUGGCAUGACUAGGCUUGACAGGUUGAACGAGCAAGGCCUUGAUGGUUUGGAAGAAGAUGAAGAUUUGGCCCCAAAUUCGGGCACGAAAUUCAGUGAUGUCAAGGGGGUUGACGAAGCCAAAGCUGAGCUUGAGGACAUUGUUCACUAUCUACGAGAUCCCAAGCGUUUCACGCGCCUUGGUGGCAAGCUUCCAAAGGGUGUUCUGCUUGUGGGCCCACCUGGCACAGGGAAGACAAUGUUGGCAAGGGCUGUGGCUGGGGAAGCUGGCGUCCCAUUCUUUGCAUGCAGUGGAAGUGAUUUCGAGGAGAUGUAUGUGGGUGUUGGGGCUAAGAGAGUGAGGGAGCUCUUCGGUGAAGCAAAGAAGAAAUCUCCUUGCAUAAUAUUUAUCGACGAGAUUGAUGCCAUUGGAGGCCGUAGAAACCCGGAAGAUCCAACGUGUCACAGGCAAACCGUGAACCAGCCGGUUUCUGAGAUGGAUGGCUUCAAGCAAAAUGAUAGGGUCAUUGUGAUCGCGGCGACCAACUUCCCUCAGUCACUUGAUAAAGCCCUCCUCAGGCCUGGGCGUCUUGGCCGUCAAAUUCAUGUCCCAAUUCCAGAUGUCGAGGGCAGACGGCAGAUCCUCGAGGUUUAUAUGUCAAAAGUCCAAGCCAGCAAGGAUGUGGAUCUGAUGACCAUUGCAAGGGGUACACCUGGAUUCUCUGGUGCAGACCUCUCAAACCUGGUGAAUGACGCUGCUCUCAAGGCAGCCAAGGAUGGGGCGGAAGUUGUUAUGAUGCAUCACAUUGAGUAUGCCAAGGACAGGAUCAUGAUGGGAAGUGAACGCAAGUCAGCAGUGAUACCAGAUAACUGCAGGAAGCUUACCGCGUACCGUGAGGGAGGGCAUGCCCUUGUUACCAUCCACACGGAUGGCGCUCGACCUAUCCACAAGGACACCAUUGUUCCCAGGGGAGAUGCUCUUGGCAUGGUGACACACCUGCCAGAGGACGAAGAUGCGUAUAAAGAAACGAGGAAGCAAAUGCUGGCGAGAUUGGAAGUCCUCAUGGGACGUCGGGUGGCCGAGGAGCUUGUAUUUGGAGAGAGCGAGGUGACCGCUGCCGCCUCCUCUGAUCUAAGCCAGGCAACGCAGCUGGCAAUAGACAUGGUCACCAGGUAUGGUAUGAGCGGGCAGGUCGGCCUUGUUUCCUACGAUGACGAUGGUGGCAGCUGUGUGAAGAGGACGGCCAUGAGGGUCGAUGAGGAAGUGAAGGAGCUAUUGGACAAGGCUUACAAGAAUGCGACAACGAUUCUCACGACGCACAUCAAUGAGCUUCAUGUGCUAGCCGGCGCCCUCCUUGAGCAUGAAACUCUCACCGGGGACCAGAUCAACAAACUAGUAUAUAGGCAAGUAAACGGCCUUAACAAUAGUCAACAGAAUCAUGAAACGCCUCCUUCACCCUAA
rnacentral:rRNA from 1 species